rnacentral:rRNA from 1 species
UACGUAGGGUGCGAGCGUUGUCCGGAAUUAUUGGGCGUAAAGAGCUUGUAGGCGGUUGUCGCGUCUGCUGUGAAAAUCCGGGCUCAACCCCGGACUUGCAGUGGGUACGGCAGGCUCGAGUUCGGUAGGGGAGACUGGAAUUCCUGGUGUAGCGGUGAAAUGCGCAGAUAUCAGGAGGAACACCGGUGGCGAAGGCGGGUCUCUGGGCCGAUACUGACGCUGAGGAGCGAAAGCGUGGGGAGCGAACAGG